rnacentral:lncRNA from 1 species
CAAUAAACCAGAGACACCUGCACCGCAUUGGGCUGAGGCAGAAGAAGUUGCGAUGGAAACAGUGGUUGUGCUAAGAGCCAACCUCAAUCAGCUGCGAGUGACGAGAGCAAGGACCACGGCGCCGGAGUCCCACAGGGAAGCUGUGACGCUCAAAGCAGGGGACUGAUGCGUUCCAGGGACGGCCCGUUUGCAGAGGCGGAGCGGUUCGAGGAGAAGCCCCAGGAGCAGCAAGGGCAGGAAGCCGUGAUCACCCCACGUGGGAGGGGCAGAGACAAGAGAAACCAAGAACAGGUGUAUAAUGGAGAACUCUGUUAAUGUGACUGGAUUCGAAUGGCA